rnacentral:rRNA from 1 species
UACGUAGGGUGCAAGCGUUAUCCGGAUUUACUGGGUUUAAAGGGUGCGUAGGUGGGUAGGUAAGUCAGUGGUGAAAUCUUCGGGCUUAACCCGGAAACUGCCAUUGAUACUAUUUAUCUUGAAUACUUUGGAGGUAAGCGGAAUAUGUCAUGUAGCGGUGAAAUGCUUAGAUAUGACAUAGAACACCAAUUGCGAAGGCAGCUUACUACACAGUUAUUGACACUGAGGCACGAAAGCGUGGGGAUCAAACAGG